rnacentral:rRNA from 1 species
GACGAACGCUGGCGGCGUGCCUAAUACAUGCAAGUAGAACGCUGAAGGAGGAGCUUGCUCUUCUGGAUGAGUUGCGAACGGGUGAGUAACGCGUAGGUAACCUGCCUGGUAGCGGGGGAUAACUAUUGGAAACGAUAGCUAAUACCGCAUAAGAGUAGAUGUUGCAUGACAUUUGCUUAAAAGGUGCAAUUGCAUCACUACCAGAUGGACCUGCGUUGUAUUAGCUAGUUGGUGGGGUAACGGCUCACCAAGGCGACGAUACAUAGCCGACCUGAGAGGGUGAUCGGCCACACUGGGACUGAGACACGGCCCAGACUCCUACGGGAGGCAGCAGUAGGGAAGCUUCGGCAAUGGACGGAAGUCUGACCGAGCAACGCCGCGUGAGUGAAGAAGGUUUUCGGAUCGUAAAGCUCUGUUGUAAGAGAAGAACGAGUGUGAGAGUGGAAAGUUCACACUGAGACAGUAUCUUACCAGAAAGGGACGGCUAACUACGUG